AGACGAACCGUCCUAACGUUGUUCGGAAUCACUGGGCUUAAAGGGCGCGUAGGCAGGUUCGCAAGUCCGGGGUGAAAUCUUUCGGCUUAACCGGAAAAGGGCCUUGGAUACUGCGAGUCUCGAGGGAGGUAGGGGCCUGUGGAACUUUGGGUGGAGCGGUGAAAUGCGUUGAUAUCCAAAGGAACGGCGGUGGCGAAAGCGACGGACUGGACCUCUUCUGACGCUGAGGCGCGAAAGCCAGGGGAGCAAACG
rnacentral:rRNA from 1 species